AUGAAUAAGUUUGGACGGAAUGAUAUUGGGUGCAUUGAACAAAAUAGACAUACAAUUGCUAGAGAAACAAAAGCAUGUGUCAUGUUGGAGCUGGGUAUUGGAAGGGUGUUGCACAUCCUAAAUAUUUUAGAGACUGCUACUGGAUAUGGGUCUGUGAGGAAUUUGUUUGAGGUGUCAAGGAAUACUAGGCAAUGGUAUAACAUUGAGAUGAAAAAAUUAUUGCAAGAGGCAAGCAAGAUCAGCAGUUAUGUUGCUUCUAUACCCAAGAAGAAUUCACCUAUUCCGAAAUAUUCAGCUUGUACACAAGUUCAUAUCCGAUCCAAGGCAAUCAUUGGUAAAUCUGAAAUAAAAGAUCUAGUGAACCCUGAACUUUGGACUUUUGCACAACUUGACAACAAGAAGAUCAUGAAGGAUUGUUCAGUCUGGCAACUCUUCAAACAUCUUAAUUCAUCAGGGUUGAUAGUUAAGAUUUCAUUGAUCAUGACAUGGGACCCUGGGGGUCUGUGUUCCUCAAGUUCAAAGCUAUAUCAAAACAAACCACAUUUCAGCAAGCUGAAAAAUGAAGGGGGGCAUUUAUGAAGCUUUUGGG
rnacentral:lncRNA from 1 species